rnacentral:rRNA from 1 species
AACGAACGCUGGCGGCAUGCCUAACACAUGCAAGUCGAACGAGACCUUCGGGUCUAGUGGCGCACGGGUGCGUAACGCGUGGGAACCUGCCCUUAGGUUCGGAAUAACUCCCCGAAAGGGGUGCUAAUACCGGAUAAUGUCUUCGGACCAAAGAUUUCUCGCCUUUGGAUGGGCCCGCGUUGGAUUAGCUAGUUGGUAGGGUAAAAGCCUACCAAGGCGACGAUCCAUAGCUGGUCGGAGAGGAUGAUCAGCCACACUGGGACUGAGACACGGCCCAGACUCCUACGGGAGGCAGCAGUGGGGAAUAUUGGACAAUGGGCGAAAGCCUGAUCCAGCAAUGCCGCGUGAGUGAUGAAGGCCUUAGGGUUGUAAAGCUCUUUUACCCGGGAUGAUAAUGACAGUACCGGGAGAAUAAGCACCGGCUAACUCCGUG